rnacentral:rRNA from 1 species
UACAGAGGGUGCAAGCGUUAAUCGGAAUUACUGGGCGUAAAGCGCACGUAGGCGGAUUAGAAAGUCAGAGGUGAAAUCCCAGGGCUCAACCUUGGAACUGCCUUUGAAACUCCCAGUCUUGAGGUCGAGAGAGGUGAGUGGAAUUCCGAGUGUAGAGGUGAAAUUCGUAGAUAUUCGGAGGAACACCAGUGGCGAAGGCGGCUCACUGGCUCGAUACUGACGCUGAGGUGCGAAAGCGUGGGGAGCAAACAGG